ensembl:lncRNA
CUCUGACAGACUAACCUGAUGUUGUGAUAGAAAUAGUGUCUUAUUCUUCUGUCUGCCCGACAGCGCUGUGAAACGCUCAUUCAUUUCCGCUUUCGUCCUCCUACACACUCCCUCGCUUAUCAUCUCUGCUGCUAAAUCUACCUGACAGGCCCCUCACAGAGGGGCGGGGCCGAGAGCCAUGGGAAUGGAGCGAGGCCGGUGGAGUUGAUGUUAAUGCAUGACACCUGCGCCACUCACCGAUCUCGAGUCCCACAGAGGAGCUCCGGGAGGAUAAAAGGAGGAGUGACGACAGUGAAAGACGAGAGAGGACCAGGCCUGGAUUUUGUGUUUUGGUUCUGUUUGUGCAAAACAGUCAUCCGUGAGGGGCUAUCACGCUAUUUUGUGUUUAUUUUAUUAUUAAAGUUUUUGUUUAAAUGUUCGCCGGUUCCCGCCUCCUUCUUCCUGACCUACGAACUUUGUUACAUUGGUGCCGAAACCCGGGAGGAAGGAGCGACGCACUGCCGGAGAUCCCUCACUGCUG